AGUGUUUUUUGUUGUAUAUGUACCACAUUUUCUUUAUCCAGUCUACCAUUGAUGGGCAUUUAGCUUGAUUCCAUAUUUUUGCUAUUGUGAACAGUGCUGCCAUGGACAUAUGCAUGCACAUGUCUCUAUAACAGAAGGAUUUAUAUUCCUUUGGGUACAUACCUAGUAACCCGUUACUAGGUUUGCUGAAUCAAAUGGUAUUUCACUCCUUAGGUCUUUGAGGAAUCAUGACACUUUUUCACAAUGGCAGAACUAAUUUGCAUUCCCGAAUACAGUGUAUGGAGUGUUGUUCUCUCAACCAGGCUGGAGUGCAGUGGUGUGAUAUGGGCUCACUGCAACAUUUAUCUCCUGGGUUCAAGCAGUUCUCCUGCCUCAGCCUCCUGAGUACCUGGGAUUACAGAUGAAGAAGAUGAGACUCAGAGCAAUACAUAAGUUGCCCAAGGUCAGAG